rnacentral:rRNA from 1 species
UACAGAGGGGGCAAGCGUUAUUCGGAAUUAUUGGGCGUAAAGGGCGCGUAGGCGGCUUUGCAAGUGACGGGUGAAAUCCCUCGGCUUAACCGGGGAACUGCCUGUCAAACUGCAUGGCUUGAGACCGGGAGAGGUGAGUGGAAUUCCCAGUGUAGCGGUGAAAUGCGUAGAUAUUGGGAGGAACACCAGUGGCGAAAGCGACUGCCUGGACCAAUACUGACGCUCAUGUGCGAAAGCGUGGGGAGCAAACAGG